AUCACUCUAGGAGGAAGGCAAGCUUUGCAUCACGUGGCUCAGGAGUCAGUGAAAGGUUAAUCAGUUUGGCAACAUCAUUCUUGAAUUGUUGGCACCAGAACUGGACACAGUAUUCCAACAGUGGUCACUACAUUGACAAAUAUAGAGCACCACACUGGGAGCUCAUGUACAGCUGAUUAUCAGAGUCACUGUGGCCCAGGAUAGAGUUCCCUCUCCCCCCAUCCUGUAAAUAUGGC